rnacentral:rRNA from 1 species
UGAUACGCGAGGACCUUACUGGCUUAAUGUAGAGUGCUAUUUCUAGAGAUAGGAAUUCCUUCGGGCUUCUACAAGGUGCUGCAUGGUUGUCGUCAGCUCGUGCCGUGAGGUGUCGGGUUAAGUCCCAUAACGAGCGCAACCCUUAUCGUUAGUUGCCAGCGGGUCAAGCCGGGAACUCUAACGGGACUGCCACCGUAAGGUGAGAGGAAGGUGGGGAUGACGUCAAAUCAGCACGGCCCUUAUGUCCAGGGCUACACACGUGUUACAAUGGUCGGUACAAAGGGCAGCUACACCGCGAGGUGAUGCUAAUCUCUAAAGCCGGUCUCAGUUCGGAUCGAAGUCUGCAACCCGACUUCGUGAAGUUGGAUUCGCUAGUAAUCGCGCAUCAGCCAUGGCGCGGUGAAUACGUUCCCGGGCCUU